rnacentral:rRNA from 1 species
UACAGAGGGGGCAAGCGUUGUUCGGAAUUACUGGGCGUAAAGGGCGCGUAGGCGGCCUGCUAAGUCGAACGUGAAAUCCCUGGGCUCAACCCAGGAACUGCGUCCGAUACUGGUUGGCUUGAAUCCGGGAGAGGGACGUGGAAUUCCAGGUGUAGCGGUGAAAUGCGUAGAUAUCUGGAGGAACACCGGUGGCGAAGGCGACGUCCUGGACCGGCAUUGACGCUGAGGCGCGAAAGCCAGGGGAGCAAGCGGG